rnacentral:rRNA from 1 species
GGGAAUAUUGGACAAUGGGCGCAAGCCUGAUCCAGCAAUGCCGCGUGAGUGAUGAAGGCCUUAGGGUUGUAAAGCUCUUUUACCCGGGAAGAUAAUGACGGUACCGGGAGAAUAAGCCCCGGCUAACUCCGUGCCAGCAGCCGCGGUAAUACGGAGGGGGCUAGCGUUGUUCGGAAUUACUGGGCGUAAAGCGCGCGUAGGCGGUUCUUUAAGUCAGAGGUGAAAGCCCGGUGCUCAACAUCGGAAUAGCCUUUGAGACUGGGGGACUAGAAUCCGGGAGAGGUGAGUGGAAUUCCGAGUGUAGAGGUGAAAUUCGUAGAUAUUCGGAAGAACACCAGUGGCGAAGGCGGCUCACUGGACCGGCAUUGACGCUGAGGUGCGAAAGCGUGGGGAGCAAACAGG